CCAACGACCAAAGCAAAGGACAGCAUAACUGAAUGACACAUUGCUCAGAAAAUAUCCAAAGCUCUGUACGCUCUGGAAAGGAAGGCAAGAAUUGCUAAAGACUCUGGAUAUUGCUCUGUUUCUAUAAGGUCCCACCCAUAUACCAUCUCUUCUUUUGGAUUUCCUUUGGCAGUAACCUGAAGUUAUAUAAGUGGCAUGUUGCCAAGUACAAAGGGAGCCCUUCUAUUGCUUCUGCUUACAAAGAGGUGUCAACGUAAGAAAAAGCCAGAACAAGUCAAAGUUCAGGGUUCCCUUGUAUGGAAGUUCUCGGGAGAACAACACUCUCAGAGUCCCAUUGUCUCAAAGAAUUCUUAAUGGACAGCUAUACUUGGCCCCAAGGUUCCAACCUCACAUUGAAGAAAGUGACAUAAGAAAACACAAGUCCCAGCGCUAUCAGGGGCUAUCUGGAAAAGCUGCUUAAACGGCAAGUGAAAGAAGGCUCUCCCCUACCCCGUUCUAGACUCACCCUGAAGUUAUUUGAAGGAUCCUUGAAACUCUUUUGGAUUGCUGCUUGGAGAACAUUCCUGUAACUUGUUCCUGCUCCUUGAACUAUAAAAGCAGAAGGGAAUUACUGAGUUAAAACUUAUAAAUUAUUAUCAAAUAAAUCUUCAACAGUGGUUCAGUCCAA
rnacentral:antisense_RNA from 1 species